GAUGGUCCUCGUGAAUAUUGAGCAUCUUUAUUUGGCACGUCCUCCGGAGAUAUAUCCACAAAAGCGAAUUUAUUCGAAUCCGCCGUUGCAGCUUCAUCUCUGACUUCACCGGAUAGAGUCGUUUCCACUUCAGUUGAAGGGACGUCUAGCGUAACAACAGGUUUGGAUGCAUCAGUUGGUCGGUGAGUAAUAGGUGUGGGUGACGAGGCAGUUUGAGAUGACGGCGAUGCAGCACCA
rnacentral:misc_RNA from 1 species